UCGAACGGAGAGUUAGCAAUAACUCUUAGUGGCGAACGGGUGAGUAACGCGUAGACAACCUACCUUCUAGAUGGGGACAACACCGCGAAAGUGGUGCUAAUACCGAAUGUUGUACUGUGGGAGCAUUUCUGUGGUACUAAAGGUGGCCUCUAUUUAUAAGCUACCGCUAGAAGACGGGUCUGCGUCUGAUUAGCUAGUUGGAGGGGUAACGGCCCACCAAGGCGACGAUCAGUAGCCGGUCUGAGAGGAUGAACGGCCACACUGGGACUGAGACACGGCCCAGACUCCUACGGGAGGCAGCAGUGGGGAAUCUUCCGCAAUGGACGAAAGUCUGACGGAGCAACGCCGCGUGAGUGAAGAAGGUCUUCGGAUUGUAAAGCUCUGUUAUUAGGGAAGAACGUACUAUGUGUGAAUAAUGCAUAGUAGUGACGGUACCUAAGGAGGAAGCCACGGCUAACUACGUGCCAGCAGCCGCGGUAAUACGUAGGUGGCAAGCGUUGUCCGGAAUUAUUGGGCGUAAAGAGCGUGUAGGUGGGAUGAUAAGUCCAUCUUAAAAGUGCGGGGCUCAACCCCGUGAUGGGAUGGAAACUAUCAUUCUUGAGUGCAGGAGAGGAAAGCGGAAUUCCCAGUGUAGCGGUGAAAUGCGUAGAUAUUGGGAGGAACACCAGUGGCGAAGGCGGCUUUCUGGACUGUGUCUGACACUGAGGCGCGAAGGCCAGGGUAGUGAACGGGAUUAGAUAC
rnacentral:rRNA from 1 species